CCGACGUGGACAUCCAGCGAGUUGCUCUCCUGGCUCUGUCCUGGUGGCGUAUGGGAGCGUAGCUCUGAGCUGAGACGUACAGUCCCGUUCCACAUCGUCGGAAAAAAAGCUCUGUCCCCGGCUUCUGGCUGGUGAGGACGAGCGUCCUGCAUAUUCCUACAUCUNUAUUCCUACAUCUUCCCAGAGUCCUUUGGGGCCGUUACUGGGGAGCUAAACCAUGCAGUGCACAUUU
rnacentral:snoRNA from 1 species